rnacentral:rRNA from 1 species
ACGGGAGGCAGCAGUGGGGAAUAUUGCACAAUGGGCGAAAGCCUGAUGCAGCGACGCCGCGUGAGCGAAGAAGUAUUUCGGUAUGUAAAGCUCUAUCAGCAGGGAAGAUAAUGACGGUACCUGACUAAGAAGCACCGGCUAAAUACGUGCCAGCAGCCGCGGUAAUACGUCUGGUGCAAGCGUUAUCCGGAUUUACUGGGUGUAAAGGGAGCGUAGGCGGUUUUACAAGUCUGAUGUGAAAGCCCGGGGCUCAACUCCGGUAUUGCAUUGGAAACUGUAGAACUAGAGUGUCGGAGGGGUAAGUGGAAUUCCUAGUGUAGCGGUGAAAUGCGUAGAUAUUAGGAGGAACACCAGUGGCGAAGGCGGCUUACUGGACGAUUACUGGCGCUGAGGCUCGAAAGCGUGGGGAGCAAACAGGAUUAGAUACCCUGGUA